rnacentral:rRNA from 1 species
CAGCCGCCGCGGUAAGACGAACCGUACGAACGUUAUUCGGAAUCACUGGGCUUAAAGGGUGCGUAGGCGGCGCGGAAAGUUGGGUGUGAAAGCCCUCGGCUCAACCGAGGAACUGCGCCCAAAACUGCCGUGCUUGAGGGAGACAGAGGUGAGCGGAACUAAGGGUGGAGCGGUGAAAUGCGUUGAUAUCCUUAGGAACACCGGUGGCGAAAGCGGCUCACUGGGUCUCUUCUGACGCUGAGGCACGAAAGCUAGGGGAGCGAACGGGAUUAGAUACCCGAGUAGUCCCUGUCUCUUAUAC